GCUAAAAUUUGUUUGUGACAUUGGGCUUCUAAUAUUAUUACCAAAACCUCCAACUAUUAGCUUCAUCUUCAAAGACCGUCGUUGUCGGCCGCCCAACCGUCAAUGAACGUUCUAUUGUGUUCCGAACAUCGAUUUUUUUCGAUCAAAUCUGCUGGGAGACGACUUCUCUGUAACCGCUUCAAGCUCUAUUGACUGGCUAUCGAAAUUCAACACCGUUACGGAUCUCGACUGCAUUCAAUCGUCGUCAUUAACGCUCAUUAACAUCAUCUAGCGAUUCCUCACAUGAUUUUUUAUUCAAUACACCCCCUCAAUUCAUCUGUUCUGUGAAUCUAAAGCUAUAAAUAUAUAUCAAAGAUUAUGUCACAGGAUUUGAGGAUCUUGAACAGAUGAACUUGCACAAGUCAAAUCUGUGUUAGAAUCAGUACACAAGCUGUUUAUGUAUAAGUUUAUUAAGUUACUACUUCUUCAAUGACUUUUACAGCGUGGUCGCAGCAUUAGGAUCUAUAUUUGUGUUCUCUCUGGUGAGCCAAGUCUUGCAAAGACAACCUCUCAAUGGAAUUACUACAGCUGCUGGUUUUGAUGUCUUCCAAAUAAUAUUUUUCACAGCGAGUUAUUAUUCUUUACUUGCUUACCUGUAGGUACAUAUAUCAUAUCGAAGGUUUCAUUUGUGUUGGAACUAAGUUGUUUUGAGUGAGUCUUCAAAAGUUCAUGUUUUAGUGACUUGAUCACUUUCAUAUAAUUAAGCACAACAAAGGACAAAUAUCUUUGAGUUAUAUCAACCAUCACACACAAUAAAAUUGCCUUACUUUAGUGUGUCAUGCUGCCAUUGUAUAUAAAGUCGUUCAAUAGAAAUAUUUGGGCUA